rnacentral:lncRNA from 1 species
AGCGGUGGGAGCAGCGCUCGUCCGCCGUUGGGGCCCCCAGCCCGCGCGCGUGAAGCAGCUAGCCGACCAAGCCCCGGAAGGCGAGUGCCGGAGGGGGCGGGACAGCUCCUCCGGGGCCAGCGGGCACCAGGCUUGGGGGCUGAGGCCCAGCGGCCCGAGACCAACUGGGCUGACCGAGGCCGCCUCCCCGCCAGCCCUGGGGUCCACUGCCCGGGGAGCAGCUCCCUUCCCAGGUCAGACUCGGGCUUCAUCCUCUCUUGCCGCGCGCCGAGCGGUUUUCAACUCUCACUGCUAGAAUUCCUCCAACCACCCAGGAUAGCAGGACCGAGAUACAUGGCCACCCAUGACCCGGAGCGUCCACUUCCAGGGACAGGCAGUGGUGAUUGGCUUCGGUUGUCAUCUGUGCCAUCUGUCCAUGGUUCGAGAAGCUGCUGUUCACGUUUUGGGGAGGAUCAUGGUUUGAGGGCUCCCGUGGUAGAAUUUGGGGAGCUCUCAUAGGCAGAAGGCUGAGAAAAGUUGGUGCUGUGGGAAGUCAACUGGCAGCCGAUGGAGUCGGGACCCGGGAGGAAUGGAAAGGGAACCCAGAUAGGAAGCUACUGCAGUAGGCUCAGAGAGGUGAUGACGGCAGGGCUAAGACAGCGGCCUUGGGCGGUGACUGGGAAGAACGUUGAACACCGUGUUUGGGCUGAAGAAAAGAGCAAGGGAAGAGGCCCAGCUGCUCUGGAGUUUGAGGCAGGAGGAUGGCUUGAACCCAAGAGGUGGAGGCUGAAGUGAGCCAAGAUCGCGCCACUGCACUCCAGCCUGGGCGACAGGGCAAAACCCUGUCUCUAAAAAGAACUUUUUAAAAAAGCACCUGUAGAUUUAAGCACAUAAUAACUACACUUUUGUCUGUUUUAUUAUGAUAUCAAAGUUAAAUUUAUGAUGAAUGACUAACUGGACAAAACUGAGAGCAACCACCACAGAGGUGAAUAUACUGAAUGUAUAACACUCUCUAAUAAUUUUAAGAACUCCGCUCUAAUGAGCAGAUAUCACAGAAAGAGACUUUUCAGAUGAAAUACCGAUGACCAGGAAAUCUGUGAGACCAUUUUAAAAAAUUCGAAGUCAUUGAAGAAAUGCAAAGCUUCCAGGCUCCACUUUUCACUGAUGAAAUUGGCAGAGUUUGGGACAAUGAGAUGUUGCUGUCCCGGGAGUGCGGAUGGGGCUGUGUCCUGUGAUGGCGGUGGGCACUGGCACUCUUGUCCAGAAAGACAUUCACCACUGUGGUUCAAGAAGCACCUCAAAGGUCUUCACCUUGGUCCCUUGUCCACCUCUGCCCGCGGUCUCUCCUCCUUUCAGCCUCCUCUUUCCCACACAGUCCCUCCCGCCCUGGCUUGGUCCCCUUUCUUCUGACUGGGUCAGGCAUGUGGGUGACUCUUUGACUUCCAAGGCUCUGUCUACUUGGCUUUUUUCUUUCACCUGUUCUGCAGAAUAACAGCCUGAUUCGUUCCUCUUUUUGGGUCCUUCACUUCCAUACCUGGGAUUCGGGGCGUGGCCCAGAAAGACCCUGCAGUCUUGCAGUGUGGGGCUGCCAGCAUUUCAUGGCCUCCAAGCUCAGCUGGGCUGAAUGAACGCUGCCAUCCAGCGCUUGGCUCAUUUUCUGUCCCAUUUUCCUGAGUGCUUUUGCCAGACUUACACUUUUCUGAAAGCUACUCCACCCUACCCCAGACACACCCUCUCUCCUCGGAUGACCUGCCUCCUAAUUUCCUGAGAAAACUGGACAUGGCCACCUUUCCCCAGUGUCUGAGGCCCAGGUUGACCCGUGGUCAUGGUCGCUGUCACCACCCACCUGCCUGUAUGACAGAGUGAGACCCUGUCUCAUAAAAAUUAUACAGUGAAACACAUUCAUCUUGAGUACAAAUCAGUGGGUUAUGAUACAGGGCUUUGACUCCUGAGUCUGAAAAAGGCACAGAUUCCUGCUAAAUCUUGAACACUGACGCCAGUCAAAGCCUCAUCUUCAGACCUGGGAGAAGGUGACAAUCGAAAUGAAAUGCUUUCAUGAGACGCAGGGCCAGUAAUUACAAGUAUUCAAUCCCCCUAGGCCCAGGGACUAUCGCGGAAGAGGUGGGCGUGUGAGAUUGUAAGGGCCAACUUUGAGGGAUAAAAUUAGAGUUUUUUUGUAAACAUUAAUAUCAAAGGCACACUGAGGCCAGGCAAGCGUCUGGCCCCUGUGUCGGAAUAACAAUUUUCCUGGACCACUGAUCUACUCUUUAAUAGAAGAUUGUAAAAGGUUAUACAAGGCGUAUGGAAAUCUUACUUCGUGGUCAAACUGAUUAAAAUUAGAUUUGUUUAUAAGGUUUUAUUAGCUUUAACAUUAAUAAUACCCCUAAAACAUUAAUAAGAGAUCAAAGAUUUUUGUUUACCUUUUAAGUAAACUACAGGAAAAAAAAAGGAGAGAGACAGACAUUUAGUUGGUUUCCUGCUGUCUUCAUUGGAUCUUACAGUUGGGGAAACUGAGUCUCCUUCAUAUCAAUGAGUAAAGGUCUUUGGUGUUUUGGUUUUUUGUUUUUUUGGAAAUCUUUGAAUUAUCGUUUUGGCUAAAUGAAUAACUAUUUUAUAAUGAACCGUGAUCCUAUUUUGUGGCAUCAAAUGUUUUAAACUUUUGAUAUUCGACUGAUGAACUUCCCAACAUCAAGAUUUCAACUUCUGGCCGGCUACAGUGGCUCAUGUCUAUAAUCCCAGCACUUUGGGAGGCUGAGACCAGGCAGGCAGAUCAUUUGAGUUCAGGAAUUUGAGAUUAGCCUGGCUAAAAUGGUGAAACUCCACCUCUACUAAAACUACAAAAAUUAGCCAGGUGUGGUGGUGUGUGCCUGUAAUCCCAGCUACUAGAGAAUCACUUGAACCUGAGAGGCGGAGGUUGCAGUGAGCUGAGAUUGCACCACUGCUCUCCAGCCUGGGUGACAGAGCAAAACUCUGUCUAAAACAAACAAACAAAAAAAUCAAGUUGUAAAUUCAGUCUCUUUGACCUUAAGCUAACUUAAAAAAAGGCUGGCCAUGGUGGCUCACACCUGUAAUUCUAGCACUUUGGGAGGCCAAGGUGGGUGGAUCACUUGAGGUCAGAAGUUUGAGACCAGCCUGGCCAACAAGGUGAAACCCCGUCUCUACUAAGAAUACAAAAAUUAGCCGGAAAUCACUUGAACCCAGGAGGUGGUGGUUGCAGUGAGCUGAGAUUGUGCCACUGCACUCCAGCAACAGAGCGAGACUGUCUCAAAAAAAAGAAAAAUUAAUGGUGGAUGCAGUGGCUCACACCUGUAAUUCCAGCACUUUGAUAGGAUGAGGUGGGCAGAUCACUUGAGCUCAGGAGUUUGAGACCAGUCUGGACAACAUAGUGAGACCUCGUCUCUACAAAAAAAAAAAAAAAAAAAAAACCAACCAAACAAAAAACCCAACAACAAAAAACAUGAAAAUCUGGGCAGGGUGGCAUGUGCCUGUAGUGCCAGCCACUCUGGAGACUGAGAUGGGAGGAUUGCUUGAGCCCAGGAGAUCAAGGCUGCAGUGAGCUGUGCUGUGAUUGCACCACAGCACUCCAGCCUGGGCUACAGAGUUUUGGAGACCCUGUCUCCAAUAACAACAACAAACAAAAAAUAAUAUAUAUUUUUAAAAGAUAUUAGGUCCUCUGGCCGGGCGCGGUGGCUCCUGUAAUCCCAGCACUUUGGGAGGCCAAGGCGGGUGGAUCACAAGGGGCUUACAGUCAACUACAGUCCAAAAUUUGCUCCUUGGAAGACUCCUGAAUGCAGGUUUCUGAUGAUGUCAGAAAGACUGUGCUGUUGGAUUAGACAGAAAACUUCUAGGACUCUAAUUAAAAGGCUGAUGUGGUCAUAAAGAUUGCUAACCCAGUAUGAAGCAAAACAAGAGUUAAUUGCAUGGACUGAGCUAAUAGAGGACUGAACUGAUUCUUUUGUGGCUUUUUUGGUUUGAAACAUUGCUGAUUCUUUUUGUUGUUCAGUGUCAAAUUUUUUUUCUCUUGAGCUAUUUGUAGCCCUUAACAAUUGAGUAUACUCUUGUAAGCCAUUGCAAGAACCAGUGGAAUUUAAAGAUGGAUCAAAUUCCUGGGGAGUUGGAUCACUGGAUGCAUAAGGAAAUCCAAACUAAUAAGGAAAAAGUGAAAUAUUCAUUCCUUAGUUAUUGUUAUCUAUAAUAGCUAAAAUUAAAGUAAGAGUGCUGGAUUAAGCCUUGAGGCUGGACCAAGCUCAGAUGUGGGUCUGAGUUUAGAUCACUAGCCUCAAAGCCACCCACAAAAGAGGUAGUUUCUGGUGCCUCUUAGACCUGUGGUUUCCAAGAAGGUAGUCAAGGUAGGGAAGGGCAAAACGAAGUAACUACUGAAGCCAAAUGGUGUGAUGUGAAGGAAGUGUUCCCUUUUGUAGACUGGUAUCAUCAGCUUCCUUGAGGCACCUUUCCUAAUAAUGGAUUGUGAGAAUAACUAAUUUGGAAGCAGUGUCUUUUGUUUUAAAUGCUGCAGAGUGGAAGAGCAUGUCUGGUUAAUGUAGGGCCCACAGCUCACAAUUGAACAGUCGUAGAAGGAUAUAUAAUUCAGACACACAGGAGGUUAUUCCUGAGCGUGGACUGGAUAAAAGUCACUGUAAGAUCUGUUUACCCCAGAUAAGUGGAACUGCCCAACUCCACUUAUCAAUGCCACCUGGAGCACCCAAGCAUGCCCUCUUGCCCGUCCACCUUCCACCAUGGGAUGAUGCAGCAAGAAGGCCCUCACCAGAUGUGGGCCCCUUGACCUUGGACUUCCCAGCGUUGAGAACUGUA